rnacentral:rRNA from 1 species
UACGUAGGGGGCAAGCGUUGUCCGGAUUUAUUGGGCGUAAAGGGCGCGUAGGCGGCUUUGCAAGUGGCGGGUGAAAUCCCUCGGCUUAACCGAGGAACUGCCUGUCAAACUGCAUGGCUUGAGACCAGGAGAGGUGAGUGGAAUUCCCAGUGUAGCGGUGAAAUGCGUAGAUAUCGGGAGGAACACCAGUGGCGAAGGCGGCUUCCUGGACCUGUUCUGACACUGAGGAGCGAAAGCGUGGGGAGCGAGUCCGG